CAAGACUGCAUGGGAGAGACCGGCUGCAAGGCCGGCGCCGACGGAGCAACCCCCCAGGAAACUCUCAGGCACAAGUGACCGUGCAGUUGAA
rnacentral:ncRNA from 2 species